rnacentral:lncRNA from 1 species
GGUCAGAAGAUAUGGUGCACUUAGCUCACAACUCCAACUAGAAACUGGAAAAUUCCAAUAAGACCAAGCAUGAGUGACAAAGUACAAAGCAGAAUCUUCUCCCUGUACUGCUAACCAUGCUAACAUUGCAAAGUUAGGGAGUAAUUUGACAUCGUGUAAACCAACAGUUUACAAAUCCUGUUCCCUUAAAUCCCACUGUAGCUCAUGCCUCUGGGACACCUACCACAUUUGUUGAGGAAGAAUGUAUUCUGCAGCACUGCUCAAAAUGGUGAUUAGGAGGACUGGUAGGUAUGGUGAGAAGGACUGGUGGGUAUGGUGAGGAGGACUGGUAGGUAUGGUGAGAAAGACUGGUAGGUAUGGUGAGGAGGACUGGUGGGUAUGGUGAGGAGGACUGGUGGGUAUGGUGAGGAGGACUGGUGGGUAUGGUGAGGAGGACUGGUGGGUAUGGUGAGGAGGACUGGUGGGUAUGGUGAGGAGGACUGGUGGGUAUGGUGAGGAGGACUGGUGGGUAUGGUGAGGAGGACUGGUGGGUAUGGUGAGGAGGACUGGUGGGUAUGGUGAGGAGGACUGGUGGGUAUGGUGAGCAGGACUGGUGGGUAUGGUGAGAAAGACUGGUAGGUAUGGUGAGGAGGACUGGUGGGUAUGGUAAGGAGGACUGGUGGGUAUGGUGAGGAGGACUGGUGGGUAUGGUGAGGAGGACUGGUGGGUAUGGUGAGGAGGACUGGUGGGUAUGGUGAGGACUGGUGGGUAUGGUGAGG